UAGUGGCGAACGGGUGAGUAACACGUGAGUAACCUGCCCUUGACUCUGGGAUAAGCCUGGGAAACUGGGUCUAAUACCGGAUACGACCAUCUGGCGCAUGUCAUGGUGGUGGAAAGCUUUUGUGGUUUUGGAUGGACUCGCGGCCUAUCAGCUUGUUGGUGGGGUAAUGGCCUACCAAGGCGACGACGGGUAGCCGGCCUGAGAGGGUGACCGGCCACACUGGGACUGAGACACGGCCCAGACUCCUACGGGAGGCAGCAGUGGGGAAUAUUGCACAAUGGGCGCAAGCCUGAUGCAGCGACGCCGCGUGAGGGAUGACGGCCUUCGGGUUGUAAACCUCUUUCAGUAGGGAAGAAGCCGUAAGGUGACGGUACCUGCAGAAGAAGCGCCGGCUAACUACGUGCCAGCAGCCGCGGUAAUACGUAGGGCGCAAGCGUUAUCCGGAAUUAUUGGGCGUAAAGAGCUCGUAGGCGGUUUGUCGCGUCUGCUGUGAAAGACCGGGGCUCAACUCCGGUUCUGCAGUGGGUACGGGCAGACUAGAGUGCAGUAGGGGAGACUGGAAUUCCUGGUGUAGCGGUGAAAUGCGCAGAUAUCAGGAGGAACACCGAUGGCGAAGGCAGGUCUCUGGGCUGUAACUGACGCUGAGGAGCGAAAGCAUGGGGAGCGAACAGGAUUAGAUACCCUGGUAGUCCAUGCCGUAAACGUUGGGCACUAGGUGUGGGGGACAUUCCACGUUUUCCGCGCCGUAGCUAACGCAUUAAGUGCCCCGCCUGGGGAGUACGGCCGCAAGGCUAAAACUCAAAGGAAUUGACGGGGGCCCGCACAAGCGGCGGAGCAUGCGGAUUAAUUUGAUGCAACGCGAAGAACCUUACCAAGGCUUGACAUGAACCGGUAAUACCUGGAAACAGGUGCCCCGCUUGCGGUCGGUUUACAGGUGGUGCAUGGUUGUCGUCAGCUCGUGUCGUGAGAUGUUGGGUUAAGUCCCGCAACGAGCGCAACCCUCGUUCUAUGUUGCCAGCGGUUCGGCCGGGGACUCAUAGGAGACUGCCGGGGUCAACUCGGAGGAAGGUGGGGACGACGUCAAAUCAUCAUGCCCCUUAUGUCUUGGGCUUCACGCAUGCUACAAUGGCCGGUACAAAGGGUUGCGAUACUGUGAGGUGGAGCUAAUCCCAAAAAGCCGGUCUCAGUUCGGAUUGGGGUCUGCAACUCGACCCCAUGAAGUCGGAGUCGCUAGUAAUCGCAGAUCAGCAACGCUGCGGUGAAUACGUUCCCGGGCCUUGUACAC
rnacentral:rRNA from 1 species